CAGCGCCACGAGUGGCAUCCGCAAUUAUUGGGCCUAAAGCGUCCGUAGCCGGUUCUGUACAUCUUUUGUGAAAUCAUGGGGCUUAACUCCAUGCCGUGCAGGAGACACUGCAGGACUAGGGACCGGGAGGAGUCAGAGGUAUUCUGGGGGGAGCGGUAAAAUGUUAUAAUCCCCGGAGGACCACCUGUGGCGAAGGCGUCUGACUAGAACGGAUCCGACGGUGAGGGACAAAAGCUGGGGGAGCAAACCGGAUUAGAUACCCGAGUAGUCC
rnacentral:rRNA from 1 species